rnacentral:rRNA from 1 species
GUCCACGCCCUAACGAUGAUUACUCGUUGUCGGCAAUAGACCGUCGGUGACCAAGCGAAGCGUUAAGUAAUCCACCUGGGGAGUACGUUCGCAAGAAUGAACUCAAGGAAUUGACGGGCCCGCACAAGCGGAGGAGCAUGUGGUUUAAUUCGAUGAUACGCGAGGAACCUUACCCGGGCUUGAAAGUUAGUGAAGGAUUCAGAAAUGGGUUCGUCCGCAAGGACACGAAACUAGGUGCUGCAUGGCUGUCGU